UGGGGAGAAGAAAGCCAUGUAACCAUAGUUAAAGAAUCUCCUUCUAAUCAAAUAUUCUGCGUAUGAAGCUCACAUAUUGCUACCUAUAUUGCCAACCAUGCUAUAGUAAGCUCAAUGACUAGCACAAAAGAUGGUAAUAAAAAUUUGCUACUAGCUCUGAUCAAGCAUGAAUUAGCAUCCCGAAUGACAUAUCCAGUUGCAGACUUAUCUUGAAAAAUAG
rnacentral:lncRNA from 1 species